AUAUUAUUUUAAUUUCUGUGAUUAAACUACAAGCGUUACCUGUGAUAAUUAUAUAAACUAUUUGUUAUUUCAUUGCAUCAUAACAUUUACAUUAGCUAGUCUAAACCGGUCUUCCAACGGCUGAGACAUACAUGUGCCUACCUAAUUGUUGUUUGUUUGUGCAUGGGCAUUCCCGAUUCUUUAAAUAAACAUUACGUUUAAUUUUUACCUGUAUAACUUGGUGGAGCAUGAAUCAAAUUAGUGUCCAUACAUGUUUGAUUUGUUUUCUGAUAAUUAAAAUCCAAGGACACGAAGCCAAAUAUAUACUUUGUUUACCGGAUCAAUAUUACAACAGUGAAUUACGGGAAUGUUUUUAUUGUACUGAUCUUUGUUUCAAAGCCGAAGCCAGAAAUCAAGUAUCAGAAUGUCAGGACAAGUGUCCAGGUUAUAUGACCACAUCAACGACAACCUUGAAUAUAACCAGGUCAUAUGAAACUACAACCCAACCAACGACAACUCCAUAUGCAAGUACUACCUACCCAACGACAACCUUGAAUAUAUCAAGCUCAAUUGUAACUACAACCCAGCCCAGCCCUGUCGCUAGCGGUAUUGUUCAAGGAUGGAUUAAAGAUAGCUCUUUAGUUGCAGAAAUAAGAGUAGUUGGUAUUAUUAUUGGUGUUAUUCUUUCUGUAAUACCCAGUCUACUCCUACUUUCUGUCAUACUCUGUAGGAAAAGAGGUAGGGUGGAAGGACAACAAGACUCUCUAGAACUGGAAACCAUGGUCACAAACAGGCAGGAUUGCUCAAGAGAGGUUUGCACAUCGAAUGGAUGUACAGCUAUUCAAGACACUCAACCACCGAGGAGUUCCCUUGAGCGUUUAACGUUGAUUACAUCUUUAUAACCAAAAGAGCAGUAGACCAAAAUUAUUUGAAUUUAUUAAAGAUCAUUUUAUUAUGUGUGACAUUUCAUAAUCUACUGUGAUAUCUCCUUAGAAGAAAUGGCUUUACAUGAAUUUGAUUGGUCAAUCAAAAAGAAACUACUUUUUUUUUAUUUUAAAAAAACAGUUCAUUUAUUAUUAAAAGUAACUUUUUUUUAAUUAAAAAUGAACUAUUAUUAUUCAAUUGACCUUGAUGGAAACACUGGGUCAAUAUAAAGGACUCUGCUGUCUUAGAAUGAACAUUAAUUUAUUGAAAAUAUUUUAUUUUACCAAUUUAUAAUUUUUCGUUUCGUUUUAUUUUGGUGAAAAAAUUUGUAGAUCAGUUGCCACAACAGUUGAGGCUGGAUUCGCCACGAUUGAAAAAUAAUAUUUGAUGUAUGAUGUUCAAUACAUUUUGAAUAAUCAGAAGUUUCAAUGAAUGACUUUUGUUUUUGAUUAUUUCUAUUGUUUCAAUGUGGAC